UGGGGAAUCUUCCGCAAUGGACGAAAGUCUGACGGAGCAACGCCGCGUGAGUGAAGACGGCCUUCGAGUUGUAAAGCUCUGUGAUUCGGGACGAAAGGCCAUAUGUGAAUAAUAUAUGGAAAUGACGGUACCGAAAAAGCAAGCCACGGCUAACUACGUGCCAGCAGCCGCGGUAAUACGUAGGUGGCAAGCGUUGUCCGGAAUUAUUGGGCGUAAAGCGCGCGCAGGCGGUCACUUAAGUCCAUCUUAGAAGUGCGGGGCUUAACCCCGUGAUGGGAUGGAAACUGGGAGACUGGAGUAUCGGAGAGGAAAGUGGAAUUCCUAGUGUAGCGGUGAAAUGCGUAGAUAUUAGGAAGAACACCGGUGGCGAAGGCGACUUUCUGGACGAAAACUGACGCUGAGGCGCGAAAGCGUGGGGAGCAAACAGG
rnacentral:rRNA from 1 species